rnacentral:rRNA from 1 species
GGGGCAUGCAUGGGCGGAGCUGAUGCAGCACGCCGCGUGCGGGAUGACGGCCUUCGGGUUGUAAACCGCUUUCGCCUGUGACGAAGCGUGAGUGACGGUAAUGGGUAAAGAAGCACCGGCUAACUACGUGCCAGCAGCCGCGGUGAUACGUAGGGUGCGAGCGUUGUCCGGAUUUAUUGGGCGUAAAGGGCUCGUAGGUGGUUGAUCGCGUCGGAAGUGUAAUCUUGGGGCUUAACCCUGAGCGUGCUUUCGAUACGGGUUGACUUGAGGAAGGUAGGGGAGAAUGGAAUUCCUGGUGGAGCGGUGGAAUGCGCAGAUAUCAGGAGGAACACCAGUGGCGAAGGCGGUUCUCUGGGCCUUUCCUGACGCUGAGGAGCGAAAGCGUGGGGAGCGAACAGGCUUAGAUACCCUGGUAGUCCACGCUGUAAACGGUGGGUACUAGGUGUGGGGUCCAUUCCACGGGUUCCGUGCCGUAGCUAACGCUUUAAGUACCCCGCCUGGGGAGUACGGCCGCAAGGCUAAAACUCAAAGAAAUUUGACGGGA